UACGAAGGGGGCUAGCGUUGCUCGGAGUCACUGGGCGUAAAGGGUGCGUAGGCGGGUCUUUAAGUCAGGGGUGAAAUCCUGGAGCUCAACUCCAGAACUGCCUUUGAUACUGAGGAUCUUGAGUUCGGGAGAGGUGAGUGGAACUGCGAGUGUAGAGGUGAAAUUCGUAGAUAUUCGCAAGAACACCAGUGGCGAAGGCGGCUCACUGGCCCGAUACUGACGCUGAGGCACGAAAGCGUGGGGAGCAAACAGG
rnacentral:rRNA from 1 species